UCUGUUAGAAAUCUCCAUUUUGAAUGUUCAGACCCAGUGGUCGCCCACUGAAGCUAAGCAGGGCUGCGCCUGGUCAGUACCUGGAUGGGAGACCACAUGGGAAAGCUAGGUUGCUGCCGGAA
ensembl:rRNA 5S_rRNA 5S ribosomal RNA